UAGCAUAUUCGUAUCUAUUUUUCCAGAACUAAUCAUCAAAAGUAUUUUACAUUUCUCAUCACUUAGGUUCUAUUCAGACACUAGUAUUUAAGUCGGCCAUGAUAUACCUCUGUGGGUAGGCUUCUUCCUGUUUGUGCCUUGUAGGCAUGGGGGCACCAGAUAUCAAUUUAUUUUACCAUGAUAUCAGAUCUUAUCUUCCUCUUUUGCAUUUAUUUUGUGUGUUUUCUAGCCAGUUAUUUUUCUUCCAGGAAUGAGAGCUCAACAUAACUGGAGCAUCUUGUUAGAGGCUAUUAAUAUACCAAUCUUAAAAGACAAUCUAGAGCAAAAUUGUUUUCACUCAUCAAGAUUCACAUUGCAUCUGCUUCCAACAGGUGUGGUGUUUUUCUCUUCCUCUUCCUGAAGGUGGGGAACCCACAGAUAAGAAGGGUCAACUGGACAUAAAAACUGAGAACUGCUAAGGAAUGACUAGGAAGUUUAUUGAGUCUUUCCCCCCCUCAUUUCCUCAAGAGAUACGAUACAAUGCUUCCCUGCUUCAGUUGGAUGUGGCUAAUGGAACAUCAGCAUAUGAAACACAAGCAGGUACUGAAAAUGGCUUGCUCUUUGGUGCUUUCCCUCUAACACUGAACUUGGAAAUCUGAGACCACCAUCUAUAGCGGCAUUGGCAAGUAGGCUAAAGAUAAGAGUUGAAAUGGAAAAGAUUCA
rnacentral:lncRNA from 1 species